UAGGGAAUAUUGGGCAAUGGAUGCAAGUCUGACCCAGCCAUGCCGCGUGCCGGAUGAAGGCUCUCAGGGUUGUAAACGGCUUUUAUUCGGGAAGAAGAGCACGGAUGCGUCUGUGUGUGACGGUACCGAAUGAAUUAGCACCGGCUAACUCCGUGCCAGCAGCCGCGGUAAUACGGAGGGUGCGAGCGUUGUCCGGAUUUCUUGGGUUUAAAGGGUGCGUAGGUGGCUUUUUAAGUCAGUGGUGAAAUACAGCCGCUCAACGGUUGAGGUGCGAUAGAUACUGAAAAGCUUGAAGAAAGGGGGGGCUGCAGGAAUGGAUGGUGUAGCGGUGAAAUGCAUAGAUAUCAGCCAGAAAACCGAUUGCGAAGGCAGGUGGCUACGUUUGAUUGGACACUGAGGCACGAAAGCAUGGGGAGCAAACA
rnacentral:rRNA from 1 species